rnacentral:rRNA from 1 species
GACAGAGGGUGCAAACGUUGCUCGGAAUUACUGGGCGUAAAGCGCGUGUAGGUGGCCACGCAAGUCAGGUGUGAAAGCCCAGGGCUCAACCCUGGAAGUGCACAUGAUACUACGUGGCUGGAGUACUGAAGAGGAGAGCGGAAUUCCCGGUGUAGAGGUGAAAUUCGUAGAUAUCGGGAGGAACACCGGUGGCGAAGGCGGCUUCCUGGACCGAUACUGACGCUGAGGCGCGAAAGCUAGGGGAGCAAACGGG